rnacentral:rRNA from 1 species
GUGAGGAAUAUUGGUCAAUGGGCGGGAGCCUGAACCAGCCAAGUCGCGUGAAGGAAGAAGGAUCUAUGGUUCGUAAACUUCUUUUGCAGGGGAAUAAAGUGCAGGACGUGUCCUGUUUUGUAUGUACCCUGAGAAUAAGGAUCGGCUCACUCCGUGCCAGCAGCCGCGGUAAUACGGAGGAUCCGAGCGUUAUCCGGAUUUAUUGGGUUUAAAGGGUGCGUAGGUGGUUUGAUAAGUCAGCGGUGAAAGUUUGCAGCUUAACUGUGAAAAUGCCGUUGAAACUGUCGGACUUGAGUAUAAAUGAGGUAGGCGGAAUGUGUGGUGUAGCGGUGAAAUGCAUAGAUAUCACGCAGAACUCCGAUUGCGAAGGCAGCUUACUAAGCUACAACUGACACUGAAGCACGAAAGCGUGGGGAUCAAACAGGAUUAGAAACCCUAGUAGUCC